rnacentral:rRNA from 1 species
CCGAAUGGGGAAACCCAGUGUGAUUCGUCACACUAUCAUUAACUGAAUCCAUAGGUUAAUGAGGCGAACCGGGGGAACUGAAACAUCUAAGUACCCCGAGGAAAAGAAAUCAACCGAGAUUCCCCCAGUAGCGGCGAGCGAACGGGGAGGAGCCCAGAGCCUGAAUCAGCAUGUGUGUUAGUGGAAGCGUCUGGAAAGGYGCGCGAUACAGGGUGACAGCCCCGUACACAAAAGCGCAUGUGCUGUGAGCUCGAUGAGUAGGGCGGGACACGUGGUAUCCUGUCUGAAUAUGGGGGGACCAUCCUCCAAGGCUAAAUACUCCUGACUGACCGAUAGUGAACCAGUACCGUGAGGGAAAGGCGAAAAGAACCCCGGCGAGGGGAGUGAAAAAGAACCUGAAACCGUGUACGUACAAGCAGUGGGAGCACCCUUCGGGGUGUGACUGCGUACCUUUUGUAUAAUGGGUCAGCGACUUAUAUUCUGUAGCAAGGUUAACCGUAUAGGGGAGCCGUAGGGAAACCGAGUCUUAAUUG